rnacentral:RNase_P_RNA from 1 species
GUUUUCGGAUAAUCGCACGAUGUUUAGAUAUCGUGAGGAAAGUCCAGGCUCGUCCGCACUGCGAUGUGCGGAGUGAUUGUGUCAGACGAAUAAAUAAGUCUGAGUAGGGCGUCAACCCUAACGGCGGUGAAAUGGACUAAGUCUUUUAGAUAUGCCAAAUUAGCUUUAAAGUGCCAUAGAGACGAAUCUUUCUGAAAACGGAAAGGCUGGAACGUGGUAAACCCCUCAAGCGAGCAACCCAAACUACGGUCGGGGCAUUUGACUAGCCAAAUUGAAGGCGUGGUCGAGCGUGCAUUGCACGAGACAGAUGAUUAUCCAGGAUGGAAGCAUCCGGACAAAACUUGGCUUAUAGAA